UUAACAGAUAAAGAACACAAAAUUUAAAGCUGAAGCAAGAGUAACAAAUUGCAGCUUUAUCUUGUAGCUGCAUAAGGAGGUAACUAGUAACAAACCCUUUUCCAUUCAAUUGCUUCAACUUAAAUUCAUUUUGGUAUUGCUACAUGGCUAAUACAGCCAAAUUAUGAAAAUUGUUACGUUUUCGGUCAAUCUUUUUUUUUUUGGAUCCUUCUAUAUUGAAUUUAACACACGUUGAACCAGGCCAUACUACGCAUAUAAGUAAGAAAAUAGAUAUAGUUUGAUUUCUCAUGCAGAAUCUUGAUAUGUGAUGUUCUUCAUUCAUUUUUAAUGUGGUGUUGAACUUAACCUUGGAACACACCAUCCAACUUAACUCCUUCAUCUGCAGCUCAAUAGGAAGAAGGAAGUUAACGGGUCUGUUGGUGGUGGUCGUGGAGCUCUGGCUGAAAUUUGGUGGUGGUGGCUCAUUGCAGUGACGAAGGAGACAUCAUGGUUGAAGGUUGCUGGAGUUGGUAGUGUUGUUUGUAUGCCGGAUAAAAUAAGGGUGUGGUGGUGAUUUA
rnacentral:lncRNA from 1 species